UGAUAAGGAUGUGAUGAGUCCGAUGUGCUGCCCUGCAACAAGGUGGAAAACAGCAAGCUGCAGCGCAAGUGUACGCACAUAGUGGACAACCCCAGACUUCAAGCAGGGCUCACAACCGGACCGUGAUGCCGUUUAUCAACAUCGAGUUUGAACUGACGGACAUAUGGACAGACAAGAAAUGUCUUGUUAAUCUCAGUUGUGAUAACUUCAGGAAAUUCUUUGGUUUGGCCCCCCAGUUUGCAUGGACAGUAAAGGGCAUCAACAAUAAACUUUAGAGAAACUGUUCGUACUGAAGAAUCAUCGUGAAGCUCUCUUCUUGGCCUGACAAAAUCCAUGACUCCCGACGGAAAGAUGUGUUAUAACAUCAGCCACACUACACUGAAUACAAGGUGUGACUAGUGUCUCACUGUGUGGUACUCACCAUAGCCUAACACAACCCAACCAGGUAACAUUAAGGUGUAUAUGUACUUAUAUAAUUAUCAGGU